CUUACCAUCAUGCUGUUCUUGUGAUAGCGAGUGAGUUCUCAAGAGAUCUGAUGGUUUAAUAAGAGGUUUUCUCCCUUUUGCUUGGCACUUCCCCUUGCUGCUGCCACCAUGUGAAGGAGGACGUGUUUGCUUCCCCUUCUGCCUUGAAAAUUUCUUGAUGCCUCCCCAACCAUGCUGAACUGCAACAAAAAUGAAGUCUUCUGACCCACUACCAUAUCUGGGUAAAAUCUUUGGCUCAACGGAUGGCUUAAAUAUGACCUUUUUCAGUUUCAAGCAGGUUCCAUUGAGAGGCAUCUAGCAACUCUGGAUACAUCAACAACCUUGAUUCACCUUCAAGGAACAUUACCUAGAAAACACUAUAAAGUGUGGCUGUGAUGCAUGGAGACCAGCAACCCCAAGUCAUACCCUUCACUGUGGAAGAAUUGGGCAAAUAAAAAGGCCAUGUUGUAAAGAUGGAAUCACAAGAUGGCACCUGCUUGGAUUCCUAAGUCACUCCCUACUGGAAGGAGGCUUUCCUGGAGACUCUCUAGAACUGCAGCAGACCUUAUAUGGAAAUAACAGAACAUAGAAACAAGGAGAGAUGUACAGUGCUAUUCACUUGCAAAAUUCUUCGUGAACCUCCCUGCUUCUUCAGCAGAGGGCACUCUGCAAUGAAAAGUGCUUGGAAGCCGAGGAUGCUAUCUUUGCAAUGUAAUAUCCAAGAAUACAGUCACAAUGUAACAUCGAGAAUACAGCAAAAGAACUGCCUUCCCACUUUAACUUGUCUAUCUAUGGGAAACUCGAACGGUCAUGCUAUGGUGCUUAGAUAGGGGUGAAUACACACCUAUUCAUGAUUAGUUUGUAGCUCACUCUCCACCUCAGUGUUAUCCAAACUACCCAAGCUGCCUUCUUCCUUCUUGGUCUAUCAUGAGGAUCUAUAUGUAGCAAAGCGAUCAAUCCUAUGAAUGCUGAGAAAUCACUACAAAUUGCUGAAAAUAUCAAUGUUCUGGCAUGAAAACCCCUUAUUUAAAAAUUGACAGUUUCAAAUGGAAAACACUAUAGAAUUAAACCUUCCUUUCUGCUCCAAAACAAUACUGAAGGUAGAAUACCCCUUCCUUCUACUUUCCCAGCCCCAUUGCAUGAUUAUAGUUAUCAUGGUCCAGGAGCCUCAGUUGUCUAAACAGUUGGGACCAUAGAGAAUGCUGUAGAAAUGAAAGCAUAUUUAACAGAAUAGACUUUAACCAGGGCUCAGGUUCUGCCACUUAUUUAGCUUGCAAUUCCUUGGUUCCUUAUUGCCAAAUUAGUACAUAGCAGAUAUGAGAAACUAAAUGAGAUGAUGUAUGUCAAGCGUUCAGUGUUUGGUGUAGCAAGCACUCUGGACAUUUCAGCUCUUGUCAUCAUUAAUAAAAAUGGUAUUUCUCUGUCAAUGACAUAUGCUUCUCAUCAUUUCAUUACUUUCCACUCUUAGAAUAUAUUCACUUUGUCAAUUGUACUUCAAUAAAGCUGAAAAAUGAA
rnacentral:lncRNA from 1 species